UCUAAGGCCAUACCACCCUGAACACACCUCGUCUCGGAAGAUAAGCAAGGUCGGUCCUGGUUAGUACUUGGGAGGAACACUGCGUGCCUACAGCAUGGUGCUAAGAG
rnacentral:rRNA from 1 species